UGUGCAGGCGGAAUGAUUAGUCAGUGGUGAAAGCCCUCGGCUCAACCGAGGAACUGCCAUUGAUACUGUCAUUCUUGAGUACAGUUGUAGUGGGCGGAAUGUGUCAUGUAGCGGUGAAAUGCAUAGAGAUGACACAGAACACCGAUCGCGAAGGCAGCUCACUAAGCUGAAACUGACGCUCAGGCACGAAAGCGUGGGUAGCAAACAGGAUUAGAUACCCUGGUAGUCC
rnacentral:rRNA from 1 species